rnacentral:lncRNA from 7 species
GAGACUGUCCGGACCAGAACCAUCAAGAACUGCAAAGAUCCAGUGUGGAAUGAAACAUUUUGCUUCAGGAUCCAGAGCCAAGUAAAAAAUAUUCUUGAACUGAAAGUCUAUGAUGAAAAUACAAUCACUAAAGAUGAUCUUCUCUUCACUGUCCUCUUUGAUGUUGCUAAAAUACAGCUUGGAGAAACUGUUCGCUUGACUUUUCAGCUAAAUCCAGAGACACAGGAGAUGCUGGAAGUUGAGUUUGCAUCAGAGAGCAUUCCAGUUCCUCCUGAAAAGCUGAUCAGUAAUGGUGUCUUGGUGUCUCGUGAAGCUUGCUGCUUGGAAGUCCUCGUGGACAAUAGACAGAAGAAGAAAGAAACUUCAGAAAAAGACUUCCUGUUCACAGUGAAGGGAUCCUAUGAACAGAACCAGACCCUGUCACUGGGCUCUUCCCUGCAACCCCCAAGGCCUCUCAUCUUCCAUUAUCUCAAAUAUGGUCUGGCAGAGCUGCGCAUGGCUCUGGCAGAAAAGAAGCCACACUUCUGCUUGUGUAUCUCAGGUGAAGAGAAAAAAAACUGCGUUGCAUCCCUCACUAUUCCUCUGGAUUCACUUCCAUUCAAGGAGAAAGUAGCAGUGGCAAAGAAUGAAGCAGUCGAUUUACAUGUAAAGUCAGUGGACUGGUCAAGAAACCUUGAUGUUCGCUUGGAGUUUGAUCUAUGCAUGGAGGAGAAAAAUUUCCUACAGAAACGGAGGAAAUUGGUGGCUUCUGCUCUGAAAAAAGCACUUAACUUAGAACAGGACCUACAAGACCAUGAGGUUCCAGUGGUAGCAGUCAUGACAACAGGAGGUGGCACCCGGGCACUGACAUCUUUGUUAGGCAACCUGCUGGGUCUUCAAAAGCUGGGUCUCUUAGAUGCUAUUUCUUACAUCACUGGGUCAUCUGGCUCAACAUGGACACUGGCACAUUUGUAUCAGAGCCCUGACUGGUCACACAAGGAUAUCUCUGGACAGAUCCGUGAAGUCCGCAGACACAUGACCAAAAGCAAACUGAGCUGCUUUUCCCUGGAGAGCUUAAAGUACUAUGACCGAGAGCUUAAGCUGCGGAAGCAAGAAGGAUACCAGAUAUCUAGCAUUGAUUUCUGGGGGCUCCUGCUGGAAAGAGCAUUGAGUGAUGGAAAAACAAUCACAAACUGUCUGAUGAGAGAUGGGCAUUAACUCAAGGUCAGAAUCCCCUACCAAUCUACAUGAUCCUCAACAUCAAAGAUGACUACAGCCUGUCAGAGUUUAAAGAAUGGGUUGAAUUCACACCUUAUGAGGUCGGGUUUUUGAAAUAUGGUGCCUUCAUUCGUGCAGAAGAUUUUGGCAGCAAGUUCUUCAUGGGUCGCUUGAUGAAAAAGCUUCCUGAGUCUCGGAUCUGCUUCAUGAAAGGCCUGUGGAGCAAUGUCUUUUCAUACAACCUUUUGGAUGCUUGGCAUUCAUCAGAUCCUUCAGACAGGUGCUCACUGAGGUGCACUCAACCCACAGCUGUUGAUGUUGAAGGAGAUGAGCCUUCUCCACCAGUCAGGAACAAUGAGUUGGAGACUUACAUAGUCACCCCUGAGUGUGGCAUCAUGGGCAUUGUUCGGGAAGUCCUGACUGAGCGAGUAAUGGUCUCAAAGUUCUUCAACUUCCUAAAGGGGUUCCAGAUGCACAAUGAAUACCUUCAGAGCAAAAGCUUUUGUAUAUGGAAAGAUACGGUGCUAGAGAAUUUUCCCAACCAGCUGACAGAAACAGCAGAGUUCCUGUGCCUUGCAGACACAGCAGGAUACAUUGAUAUCAGCUACCCACCACUCAUGAGGCCAGAGAGGAAAGUGGAUGUUGUCCUACACUUAAACUACUCUUCGGGAUCACAGACAUCGCCUUUGGAAGAAGCCUCCAAAUACUUCUCAAAACAGGGAAUUCCAUUUCCAAAAAUCCGCCUGAGUGAAGAGGAAAAGAAAAAUCUAAAGGAGUGCUACAUCUUUGAAGAUGCAGAGACCCCAGAGGCACCAACAGUGGUGUUUUUCCCUCUGGUGAAUGACACAUUCAGAAAAUACAAAGAGCCAGGUGUGGAGCGCAGCUCUGCUGAGAUGGCACAGGGCAAUGUGGACGUUUCCGGCCUUUUUUCCCCAUACUGCAUAAACAGCUUUACCUACACAGAGGAGCAGUUUGACAAUCUGGUAAAACUGACCAGCUAUAACAUUCAGAACAACAAGCAUCUGAUUCUUCAGGCUUUGAAUUCAGCAAUAGAGCAGAAACGACAACACAAAAAAUAAAUGUUGUCCCAAGUUUCAGAAAGAUGUCUGUAUCACUUUUUCUUCCCUGUAGAAGAAUCAGAACCUGCUGGUGAAUGAAUAUAUGGACUUGGGAAAGUGUUGAGAUUUAGCUUGUGGUUCCUCUACACCAAGUAGCAAUCCUAGAUAAACCCAUCAAACAAAACAUGAUUACUCUCAUGCUUUAUUAAAGUAGAUAUCCACUGCUAGUGAAUGUUUUUUUUCAUGUGUAUUUAUACAUAUAUGUAUAUACAGUAAAUUAAAGGUUAGAAAAUAUGGGGUUUAUUGAUGGGUUUUUUGAAUUUAUGAGUGUGGAACAGCAACACAACUUAUUGCAAAAACACAAGUAAAAAAAUUAUAUAUGAAGAUAAAUGAGCUACAGGUAUUUAAUGUAUUCCAAAUUCAGUACAAUAGAAAAAAUAUUGAACAAAUGUAGACAAUCCCAAGGGAAAGAGAAAACUAAAUUUUGUUAUAACAUCAGCAUUAAAUUUUAUUGCAAAUAGCACACAAAACUAUACAGAAAAAGAUACAGAAAAGCCAAGAUUUACUGUGUAAGAUGCAGAAUUUCUAUACUUCUGAAUUUACAAGUUUUGUUUUAUGCCAGCAGUAUUUGGGUUUGGAAAAUCCUGUGGAAGUGAUCAUUCCAAACCCUCUAGAGAGUUGCAAGCUGCUCUUCUGGUGCAUGUGUAAGCACCUGACCUGAGGUUGUGUUUUUAAUUGAAUACUUGUGACGUUCAGAGUAUCCAGCUCAGCAUCUGCUUCCCUUAGUUUCAGGUAUAAUAGUAUUUCUUGUUAUUAUAGGUAAGGAUGCUGGGAAAAUAAAAACAGUAAAAACAGAAACAUUCAGAUUUUUUGGUAAGGGAACAAGCUAAGUGUUUUAAAUUGAUAUCCAUGGAUAAUUCAUGGGUAAUUACAUAAUUUUUUCAGUCCUUGAAUGUAUACAAGUAAUACAGGCUUUAUGCAGCUAUAAAUAUCACAAGGCAAUUUGUUGAGAUUGUUUAACUUUUAAAUGAAAAUAAAAAUAUUUAUUUACUUCAUGAAAGGUUUCAGUAAUGCAAAUACUCUGUAAAUCUAUCUGAAAAGAAGAUGAUGCUUCAGCCAGUGUCAGAUGCCCUUAAGUACUUCAAAUUUGAAUGAAAGACAGUGACUUGUCCGUGUUGAAGUAACAUAUACUGACACACACAGAGCUGCGUGUGGUUUGUUGUAAAUGAUGUAAUUGUAGCCAAAAUAGAAAAUAAAUCCUUAAUUC